rnacentral:lncRNA from 1 species
GCUCCGGCAACUUUUGACUUGUUCUAAUAUAAAUAGUAAUGAUUUUCAUCGAAGAAAAAGAUAGACAUUUUUGUCGUUAAUGUGUUAUUUUUCUAAAAGAAUCUGUUUGUUUAAUCGGACAUCGUAGAGUCUUAAUUUUAUUUCUGUUAGCCGAACUGGACUUCAUAUUGUGUAUUGAAUUGAAACAUGAACGCGGACCUCGAUGAGAACACCUGGAUUGAAAGUUUGCAAACGUUCAGACCAAUGAAAUUCAUUUUAAUAUGUAACGAGAACUUCAACGAGAGCACCUAGAUGAAAUAUAUUAUCUUUACUACAUUCAGUUUUAACUUAGAAAUUUC